UAACUGAAGAGUUUGAUCAUGGCUCAGAUUGAACGCUGGCGGCAGGCUUAACACAUGCAAGUCGAGCGGGGGAAGGUAGCUUGCUACUGGACCUAGCGGCGGACGGGUGAGUAAUGCUUAGGAAUCUGCCUAUUAGUGGGGGACAACAUCUCGAAAGGGAUGCUAAUACCGCAUACGUCCUACGGGAGAAAGCAGGGGAUCUUCGGACCUUGCGCUAAUAGAUGAGCCUAAGUCGGAUUAGCUAGUUGGUGGGGUAAAGGCCUACCAAGGCGACGAUCUGUAGCGGGUCUGAGAGGAUGAUCC
rnacentral:rRNA from 1 species